rnacentral:rRNA from 1 species
GGCGAACGGGUGAGUAAUGCAUCGGAACAUGUCCAUGUCGUGGGGGAUAGCCCGGCGAAAGCCGGAUUAAUACCGCAUACGCUCGAGAGAGGAAAGCCGGGGACCGCAAGGCCUGGCGCGAUUGGGUUGGCCGAUGUCCGAUUAGCUAGUUGGUGAGGUAAAGGCUUACCAAGGCGAUGAUCGGUAGCUGGUCUGAGAGGAUGAUCAGCCACACUGGGACUGAGACACGGCCCAGACUCCUACGGGAGGCAGCAGUGGGGAAUUUUGGACAAUGGGGGCAACCCUGAUCCAGCCAUUCCGCGUGAGUGAAGAAGGCCUUCGGGUUGUAAAGCUCUUUUGUCCGGAGCGAAACGGUUGUGGUGAAUAUCCACGACUACUGACGGUACCGGAAGAAUAAGCACCGGCUAACUACGUGCCAGCAGCCGCGGUAAUACGUAGGGUGCGAGCGUUAAUCGGAAUUACUGGGCGUAAAGCGUGCGCAGGCGGUUUUGUAAGCCAGUCGUGAAAUCCCCGGGCUUAACCUGGGAAUGGCGAUUGGGACUGCAAGGCUGGAGUAUGGCA